CGCAGCCGCGGUAAUUCCAGCUCCAAUAGCGUAUAUUAAAGUUGUUGCAGUUAAAAAGCUCGUAGUUGAAUUUCGGGAUUAGUAAGUUGGUCGUGCCUCUGGUAUGUACUGGCUUUACUGGUUCCUCCUUCUUGAAGAACUGUAAUGUCAUUAAUUUGGUGUUGCAGGGAAACAGGACUGUUACUUUGAAAAAAUUAGAGUGUUUAAAGCAGGCUAACGCUUGAAUACAUUAGCAUGGAAUAAUGAAAUAGGACGUUUGAUUCUAUUUUGUUGGUUUCUAGGAUUGACGUAAUGAUUAAUAGGGAUAGUUGGGGGCAUUAGUAUUCAAUUGUCAGAGGUGAAAUUCUUGGAUUUAUUGAAGACUAACUACUGCGAAAGCAUUUGCCAAGGAUGUUUUCAUUAAUCAAGACGAAAGUUAGGGGAUCGAAGACGAUCAGAUACCGUCGUAGUCUUAACCAUAAACUAUGCCGACUAGGGAUCGGAUGAUGUUAAUUUUUUAAUGUACUCAUUCGGCGCCUUA
rnacentral:rRNA from 1 species